AAGUUGGAAUUGCUAGUAAUCGCAGAUCAGAAUGCUGCGGUGAAUACGUUCCCAGGCCUUGUACACACCGCCCGUCACACCAUGGGAGCCGGUAAUACCCGAAGUCAGUAGUCUAACCGCAAGGGGGACGCUGCCGAAGGUAGGAUUGGCGACUGGGGUGAAGUCGUAACAAGGUAGC
rnacentral:rRNA from 1 species